AGAAUGAACGUUGGCGGCGUGGAUUAGGCAUGCAAGUCGAGCGAGAAUUCCCCGCAAGGGGAAGGACAGCGGCGAAAGGGAGAGCAACACGUAGUUACCUACCCUCAGGACUGGGAUAGCUCCGGGAAACCGGAGGUAAUACCAGAUGACGUCUUUGGACCAAAGGUGUGAUUCCGCCUGAGGAGGGGACUGCGUCCUAUUAGCUAGUUGGUGAGGUAACGGCUCACCAAGGCAUUGAUGGGUACGGGGUGUGAGAGCAUGCCCCCGCUCACUGGGACUAAGACACUGCCCAGACACCUACGGGUGGCUGCAGUCGAGGAUCUUCGGCAAUGGGCGCAAGCCUGACCGAGCGACGCCGCGUGCGGGAUGAAGGCCUUCGGGUUGUAAACCGCCGUCGGAGUGGAGGAAAUUCCAGGGGGUUCUCCCUCUGGAUUGACCUAUACUCAGAGGAAGGACGGGCUAAGUUCGUGCCAGCAGCCGCGGUAAGACGAACCGUCCAAACGUUAUUCGGAAUCACUGGGCUUAAAGGGUGCGUAGGCGGCCCGGAAAGUUGGGUGUGAAAGCCCUCGGCUCAACCGAGGAAUUGCGCCCAAAACUACCGGGCUCGAGGAAGAUAGAGGUAAGCGGAACUUAGGGUGGAGCGGUGAAAUGCGUUGAUAUCCUAAGGAACACCAGGAGCGAAAGCGGCUUACUGGGUCUUUUCUGACGCUGAGGCACGAAAGCUAGGGGAGCGAACGGGAUUAGAUACCCCGGUAGUCCUAGCCGUAAACGAUGAGCACUGGGUUGGAGGGUCCCCCAUAACCCUCUAGCCGUAGCGAAAGUGUUAAGUGCUCCGCCUGGGGAG
rnacentral:rRNA from 1 species